rnacentral:rRNA from 1 species
GACGAACGCUGGCGGCGUGCCUAAUACAUGCAAGUUGAGCGCUGAAGGUUGGUACUUGUACCAACUGGAUGAGCAGCGAACGGGUGAGUAACGCGUGGGGAAUCUGCCUUUGAGCGGGGGACAACAUUUGGAAACGAAUGCUAAUACCGCAUAAAAACUUUAAACACAAGUUUUAAGUUUGAAAGAUGCAAUUGCAUCACUCAAAGAUGAUCCCGCGUUGUAUUAGCUAGUUGGUGAGGUAAAGGCUCACCAAGGCGAUGAUACAUAGCCGACCUGAGAGGGUGAUCGGCCACAUUGGGACUGAGACACGGCCCAAACUCCUACGGGAGGCAGCAGUAGGGAAUCGUCGGCAAUGGACGAAAGUCUGACCGAGCAACGCCGCGUGAGUGAAGAAGGUUGUCGGAUCGUAAAACUCUGUUGGUAGAGAAGAACGUUGGUGAGAGUGGAAAGCUCAUCAAGUGACGGUAACUACCCAGAAAGGGACGGCUAACUACGUG